rnacentral:rRNA from 1 species
AACGAACGCUGGCGGCAUGCCUAACACAUGCAAGUCGAACGAGACCUUCGGGUCUAGUGGCGCACGGGUGCGUAACGCGUGGGAACCUGCCCUUAGGUUCGGAAUCACUCCCCGUAAGUGGUGCUAAUACCGGAUAAUGUCUUCGGACCAAAGAUUUAUCGCCUUUGGAUGGGCCCGCGUUGGAUUAGCUAGUUGGUAGGGUAAAAGCCUACCAAGGCGACGAUCCAUAGCUGGUCUGAGAGGAUGAUCAGCCACACUGGGACUGAGACACGGCCCAGACUCCUACGGGAGGCAGCAGUGGGGAAUAUGGGACAAUGGGCGAAAGCCUGAGCCAGCAAUGCCGCGUGAGUGAUGAAGGCCUUAGGGUUGUAAAGCUCUUUUACCCGGGAUGAUAAUGACAGUACCGGGAGAAUAAGCUCCGGCUAACUCCGU